ensembl:misc_RNA
UUGACAGCCCUGGGUUCUGAAGCCUUGUAUUUAUCCACAGAACAGAUACAGAACUAGCAGUAAGUGUUCAGGCUUCCCUUUUCUGCCUUAUCGAUAUGCCUCCGCCCAGACCUAGAAGGACAAUCUCUGGGAGUGAGAAGAUUGUUCAGAGUUUCAUGCUUUUGUAAGGAUUGAUCCA